CCUCUUCCUGCUGCCUCCAAGGUCUCUGGGAUUUGCAGUCCAGACUUACAAUAGCAGCAUGCUGCAGAGUUGCUUAUCACUUCCUCUUCCUGCUUCCAUGUGGUGCUGGGCUUUGUAGUCUACAGUUGCAGCCAGAACAGGAACUCCCGGUCUGCACCGGCUCAGCUUUACCUCCACAUCACGUGAAGUGAUUUCGGGCCAGUCUGCAGCAUGGGCUAUAUCCGGAGGCCGGGGGCGGACGCAGAGGGGAGCUGAAGGAGCGUGGGCGAGUAGCCGAAGAACAAGAAGCUUGGACUGAGGACAGGCACCUGCCCAAGGAAAGGAGAGUAGGGGCUCACCCCCCCCCAGAAGCCUUCAUCGCUGAAGCAGGACAGGCAAGAUCCCAAGCGACGAAGACUGUGUCCACCCUAAUUGAUGACGUCUGAGGGAAUCCCCUGCCACGGGAAUGGCACUUGCAGGGGGAAAAAAAAGAAAAGAUAGACUGUGGAAAAGACUUACCAGAUAAGAUAGGGAGGCGACAGGAUGCCAUGCUGGAAGCCAAACGUGGCAAAAGUGAAACCACAGCAGGCAGAGCCACCAUGGGAGAUCAGAAGAAAAUGAAGCAGCCAAGCCAAGAGGAGCCAGGAACAGCUCCCGCGUCCACAUGGGCAUGCUUUAUAAGAGCGUGAUGGGACCGAUUGGUCGGCCAGAUGCCUGGAGCUGGGAUAAAAGACCCAGUGAAAGAAAGCAGUGGAGACUGGAAGUGGAGUCCCCAACUGGCCCAGAGGGGCCAGAACUCUCAAGUGGUCCCAGCAAGGGGACCUGGUGGGUACCCUAGGAAGGGGUCACUAUGAGAACACAGGGCCAGAGAGGGCCCGAGGAUCUACUUACAGGAUCGACGUGGACAGAGGAAGGCUGCAGCAAUGACUGGAGCGAGGCAGGACCCUGCAGUAUCAGGAUCUGACAGAUGGCAGUUACCAAACCUGGGGAAAAGGCGACGUGGUGGAGGAUGGAACGGUGCCAAAGCCGGACGCCGUAUAGGCAAGAGAGCAUAGAAGCAUCACCACUAGCCUGCGACUGUAAGAUCCUGAAAGACUGAGCGCUGAGAAGGUUCAGGACAUCAGCCUCGACGACACAAGUGACAACAUCACAGUUGGUGUUAGGCAGGGUAUAGGGGAGGCAGAGCCCCACAAAGAAGGAACAGCAGGAACGACCAAGGGAAGGCGCCAGGGAGGUGGGACCAAACGUUGUCCUCCUGAUCCAAAUAUAAUCAUCAUCAAAGACAUGCAGGUGAGUCCCCUGGGGAACCGACCCAAAGUCACUCCAAUAACCAAGCUGUUCAGCCCAAAGAGCCAUGGCGAGGCUCGAGAAGAACCCACACACAUGGCGCCCAGGGGAAAGACACAGAAGAUUAAGUAGACCUUACAGCAUGCCCUGAAUAUUGUGAACCAAGGACUAUUGUGGAUGUGGAGGAAGUCAGCUUCAAAAUUUUGUUUUGGUUGUUUUUUAUGUUUAAUUAUUGGGACUGAAUUGUUUGGUAUUUGAAUAUUUUUAGUCAUACAGGUAUAUGCAAAUUACAGCAUUGUCAGUGUAUUAAGGAUCAACACAAAUUAGAAAUCAUGUAUUUGGAACAGAUUAUACUUUAAGUGUGGUCAUAAUUAAUCCAUAAAUUAUUACCAGACAUAUCAACAGUUCUACAAACAGUACUGCCUUUCAUUUGUGAGUUACAAGAAUGUUGUAUGAUAUUUGAAUUGCUUUUUAAGAACAUAUCAUUUUCCCAAUAAAUGUGAGAAAACUGUUUGACUUUGAAGUAUAAACACAUAUGAUAUACCAACUGCUCUGAAUCGCAACUUUUUUACAUUUUUAAUCAAUUUUGAAACGCACUGAAAUAUAAAAAUUUGGAAGAAAUGUGCCAUGAAGAUUAUGGGGCACUUGAAAGCUUUUUAAAUUUGGCCCUUAGUAAGACGUUGACUCCCACUGAGCAUCAAAUAGAUAGCAUUCAGAAUGUGGAAAACCUAAAAUGUAACAGAAGGAAUAUUAUUGCAUGUGGAACAAUCAUGACUUAAAGUGCCAAUACAUUUUAUUUUGUGUGUUGUGUGCUUAUGGACAUUUUUACUUUUUGUUAACAAAGUUUACUUCAUCUUGUAAAUGCAAUCUCACUCUUUCCCUCUUGAU